CCCGAUUUAUCUGAACUUGGUGUGCUGCAGCUAUUGUUUGGUAUCCAGUUCAACAAUGAAAAGAGGGGGGCUAAAGUAUUAAUCAAGUAUCAUAAUAAGUAUUUCACAUAUCAAAAAUCUCAGACCUUGGUUAAGUUUAAUUGCAAGUUGCAAUGUGCUCUCCUUAUUCUGUUAACCAACGCUUGUUUAAAUGACAAUGUAUUUGUUGUAUGAUAAGGUGAGUAUUAAAGUGCUGAUUAAUACCUUGUUGGUGCUGAAAAAUUUUCAUCCUUUAGAUAUUACUUCUAAAGUGUCCAGCCUAAAGUUUCAUCCAGCAUGAACAGAUCAAGAAAAUGGAGCAUCUAUAUUGAAAGCUCUUUCUGCAGUUAUGCUUUCAACCCAAGGGUAUUCUAUUAUAUGCUUUGUGAUUUAGUUUACACUACAAGAGGCGCGGGACUUAGCAGCCCCAAAUUGCCGGCCGUUCUCCCCAACCGUUCCAAAUUGCCUUAUUUGUUGCGAUUCCUGCUGCGUUAAUACUCCCCCGCACCAAAUAAACUGAACCGGGGUGUUACCUGCGGUAAAAUACCAGCCCUUUUUCCAGAGCGCUGCUGUUCGAGUGAGCUGCUGCAGUUCUUCAUGCGUUUUGAUGGUCCGCCUCCAAUAAAUCCAAAAUGGUUGCCCUCUUUGUCCAACCGCAUCUAAUAACAAGGUGGGAGAAGUGGGUUGUUUCAUUAAAGAACCACAACCAAUACAUUAAGGCGCCAAUAACUUUCCCUCUUUUUGGCGUGAACCCUAGCAGAGCAUAGCGCCAAUCGCGGGUCUCCUUCCACCACCGUCGUGACGUCGUCGGCAGCCUUCCCCCUUGCCCUUGCCCUGCUGUGCGCUGAUCGCCCCCUCUCCCCUCUCUCAGGUUCUCUGACGAGCGGGUAUAUCGGAGCUCUGAAAUAAUUUACUUGGGGUGUAUUCCUGUACCUGCAGCUGUGACAGGUGCUGUGGCUGUAGAGUUUAUUAUAUGCCAUGCAGAGGUAUGUGUAUCAUUUGUAGAAGAAAAGAAAAUACCGGAUGUUCGCCUAUUAAAAUACCUUCUUUUUUUAUAUUGGUUUACUAUUUUUGAAAGAUUAGCUACUGUGUACAAUACAUUGACUCUUAUCUAUCUAUCUUUUUCCUGAAAAUGUUUUAGCUAUUGAAGACAUUUCCAAAUACCACAAAGUAUCUCAAGACGCCUAUGAGCUUUGGGAAGGUUACACCUGAACAAAAGCAAGAAGUUGAAAAGUUUGGGUUGGCAAUAUAUUCGUGGGAUGAACUUAUAACUAAAAGAGCAGACAAGCAGGAAGGCAGUGGAGAAUGAAGUAGCAGCCGAGAAGACUAAAAGACAGGCGGUGGAGGAUGAAGUAGCAUCUGAGAAGACCAAAAGACAGGCAGUGGAGGAUGAAGUAGCAGUUGGAAAGGUCAGGAUGCAGACAAUGGAGAGUGCUUUGUUAUGUCUACUUCAAGGGCAAGAUAGGAAGCUGCCAUCAGACGUUGCCACAUGGAUGAGUGCGUUGGAGGGAUAGAAUAGAAAGUAGAUCUUAGGAUUGUGGAACCUUUUCUUCUUUCAGAUAUACACUUUUAUUUUGUUGAUUAUGCAACUCUUAGUAAGGAGUACACUUUGUUGAUAUUCGGAUAAUUAUAUUAAUUAAA